GAUGAACGCUGGCGGCGUGCCUAAUACAUGCAAGUCGAGCGAACAGACGAGGAGCUUGCUCCUCUGACGUUAGCGGCGGACGGGUGAGUAACACGUGGAUAACCUACCUAUAAGACUGGGAUAACUUCGGGAAACCGGAGCUAAUACCGGAUAACAUGUUGAACCGCAUGGUUCAACAGUGAAAGACGGUCUUGCUGUCACUUAUAGAUGGAUCCGCGCCGCAUUAGCUAGUUGGUAAGGUAACGGCUUACCAAGGCAACGAUGCGUAGCCGACCUGAGAGGGUGAUCGGCCACACUGGAACUGAGACACGGUCCAGACUCCUACGGGAGGCAGCAGUAGGGAAUCUUCCGCAAUGGGCGAAAUCCUGACGGAGCAACGCCGCGUGAGUGAUGAAGGUCUUCGGAUCGUAAAACUCUGUUAUUAGGGAAGAACAAAUGUGUAAGUAACUAUGCACGUCUUGACGGUACCUAAUCAGAAAGCCACGGCUAACUACGUG
rnacentral:rRNA from 1 species